rnacentral:misc_RNA from 1 species
GUGAAUCAUCGAAUCUUUGAACGCAAAUUGCACUCUCUUCGGAGAGUAUGCCUGUUUGAGGGUCAGCCUAAAAAAAACUCGACAUAGUCGCUGUUUCGCGGUGACCUUCUUCGGACAUUGGGUCAUCUUACACCUUUUGGUUUUAAGCGGCUUAACAUUUUCUUUACGAUUCCACGAACUUUUCUAAAAUUUACUUCUUACGUCUAAGUUAUUGAUUUUUAUUAGACGUGUCCGUUGCAUCGGGUUCCUUCCAUAAAUAUUUAGUUAACUGAC